rnacentral:rRNA from 1 species
UACGGAGGGGGCUAGCGUUGUUCGGAAUUACUGGGCGUAAAGCGCUCGUAGGCGGCUUUGCAAGUUAGAGGUGAAAGCCCGGGGCUCAACUCCGGAAUUGCCUUUAAAACUGCAUCGCUAGAAUUGUGGAGAGGUAAGUGGAAUUCCGAGUGUAGAGGUGAAAUUCGUAGAUAUUCGGAAGAACACCAGUGGCGAAGGCGGCUCGCUGGACCGGUUCUGACGCUGAUGCGCGAAAGCGUGGGGAGCAAACGGG